rnacentral:rRNA from 1 species
AUUGAACGCUGGCGGCAUGCUUUACACAUGCAAGUCGAACGGCAGCGCGGGCUUCGGCCUGGCGGCGAGUGGCGAACGGGUGAGUAAUACAUCGGUACGUGCCCAGUUGUUGGGGAUAGCGCGGCGACAGCGGGAUUAAUACCCCAAAACACCAUACGGUGAAAGCGUGGGAUCUUCGGACCUUGCGCCCUUGCGCCGGCCGAUGAGCCGAUGGCGGAUUAGCUAGUUGGGGGGGUAAAGGCCCACCAAGGCGACGAUCCGUAGCUGGUCUGAGAGGACGACCAGCCACACUGGAACUGAGACACGGCCCAGACUCCUACGGGAGGCAGCAGUGGGGAAUUUUGGACAAAGGGCGAAAGCCUGAUCCAGCAAUGCCGCGUGUGUGAUGAAGGCCUUCGGGUUGUAAAGCACUUUUGGCGGGAAAGAAAAGGAGUGUGCUAAUACCACGGUUCGAUGACGGUACCCGAAGAAUAAGCACCGGCUAACUACGUG